rnacentral:rRNA from 1 species
CUGCCAGUAGUCAUAUGCUUGUCUCAAAGAUUAAGCCAUGCAUGUGUAAGUAUAAGCAAUUAAACAGCGAGACUGCGGACGGCUCAUUAAAUCAGUAAUAGUCUGUUUGAAGGAGAUUACAUGGAUAACUGUGGUAAUUCUAGAGCUAAUACAUGCAAACGAGGGGUUUUCCCCUGCGUAUCAACUGGAUAAACCAAUGAGGGCAACCUCAAUUGGUGAGUCAAUUGAUCCAACUGCGGACCGCAUGGCCUUGUGCUGGCGGCGCUUCAUUCAAAUUUCUGCCCUAUCAACUUUCGAUGGUAGUCUAUUGGACUACCAUGGUCGUAACGGGUCACGGGGAACCAGGGUUCGGUUCCGGAGAGGGAGCCUGAGAGAUGGCUACCACUUCCAAGGAAGGCAGCAGGCGCGCAAAUUACCCAAUGACAACACGUCGAGGUAGUGACAAUAAAUACCAAUCCUGGCAGCUUUCAGCUGCUGGGAAUUGGAAUGAGCACAAUUUAAAUCCCUUAACGAGGAACAAUUGGAGGACAAGUCUGGUGCCAGCACCCGCGGUAAUUCCAGCUCCAAUAGCGUAUAUUAAAGUUGUUGCAGUUAAAACGCUCGUAGUCGAACCUUAGGGACGAGCCGAGUCGGUACGUUCGGGAAGAAUGGAACUGCUUGGCUUUCCCUCUUUGCUGAUCAGAGGCGCUGCUCUUAACUGAGCGGAGUCGAUGGUCGGCGACUUUACUGUGAACAAAUUAGAGUGUUUAAAGCAGGCAUCUUUGCCUUGAAUACAUUAGCAUGGAAUAAUAGAAUAGGGCCGAAGCACUAUUCUGUUGGUUUGAGCCGCUUCCGGCAAUGAUUAAUAGAAAUAGUUGGGGUAAUUCAUAUUUGGUUGUCAGAGGUGAAAUUCUUGGAUUGACUAAAGAUGAACCGCAGCGAAAGCGUUUUACAAGGACGUUUUCAUUGAUCAAGAACGAAAGUCGGGGGAUCGAAGACGAUCAGAUACCGUCGUAGUCUCGACUAUAAACGUUGCCGACCAAGGAUCGAGG